rnacentral:rRNA from 1 species
AAUAUUGAACAAUGGCCGCAAGCCUGAUCCAGCAAUGCGGCGUGGGGGAUGAAGGCUUAAGGUUUGAAAAGCCCUUUCGGCGGGGAAAAUAAUAACGGUACCCGCAAAAAAAGCCCCGGCAAACUCCUGUCCACAAGCCGCGGUAAUACGAAGGGGGCUAGCGUUGUUCGGAAUUACUGGGCGUAAAGGGCGCGUAGGCGGACUGUUAAGUCAGGGGUGAAAUCCCGGGGCUCAACCCCGGAACUGCCUUUGAUACUGGUGGUCUUGAGUUCGGGAGAGGUGAGUGGAAUUCCGAGUGUAGAGGUGAAAUUCGUAGAUAUUCGGAGGAACACCAGUGGCGAAGGCGGCUCACUGGCCCGAUACUGACGCUGAGGCGCGAAAGCGUGGGGAGCAAACAGG